GACGAACGCUGGCGGCGUGCCUAACACAUGCAAGUCAACUUGACUGAAGGAGCAAUCUGACAGUAGAGUGGCGCAAGGGUGCGUAACGCGUAAGUAACUUGCCCAAGGUAAGGAAUAACGUCGAGAAAUCGGCGCUAAUACCUCAUAAUGCAGCGGAUCCGCAUGGAUAUGUUGUUAAAGGUUUACCGCCUUGGGAUAGGCUUGCGUCUGAUUAGCUAGUUGGUGUGGUAACGGCACACCAAGGCUACGAUCAGUAACUGGUCUGAGAGGAUGAUCAGUCACACUGGAACUGAGACACGGUCCAGACUCUUACGGGAGGCAGCAGUGAGGAAUAUUGGGCAAUGCUCGAAGGAGUGACCCAGCAACGCCGCGUGGAGGAUGAAGGUAUUCUAUAUCGUAAACUCCUGUGAGAGCAGACGAAGACAGAUUAUUAAUCUGGAUGACUGUAUGCUCAGAGGAAGCCCCGGCUAACUACGUCG
rnacentral:rRNA from 1 species